UAGAUUUAAAUGAUUUUCUAUCAUUUUUUUUUUUUUGUUUUUUUUUUUGAGGUAGACCUCUAGUGCUAUGAACUUUCCCUUAAGGACUGCUUUCAUUGAGUCUCCCAGAUUUUGGAUUUUUGUGUUUUCAUUUUCAUUUCUUUUCAGGAUGUUUUUUAUUCCUUCUUUGAUCUCUUU